AUACGGGGGGUGCAAGCGUUAUUCGGAAUCAUUGGGCGUAAAGGGCACGCAGGCGGCCUGGUAAGUCAGAUGUUAAAGCCCGGGGCUUAACCCCGGAAGGGCAUUUGAAACUAUCAGGCUUGAGUAUGGGAGAGGGAAGUGGAAUUCCUGGUGUAGAGGUGAAAUUCGUAGAUAACAGGAGGAACACCGGUGGCGAAGGCGACUUCCUGGACCAAUACUGACGCUGAGGUGCGAAGGCGUGGGGAGCAAACAGGAUUAGAAACACCAGUAGUCC
rnacentral:rRNA from 1 species